rnacentral:rRNA from 1 species
UACAGAGGUCCCGAGCGUUGUUCGGAUUCACUGGGCGUAAAGGGUGCGUAGGUGGUGAGGUAAGUCGGAUGUGAAAUCUCCGAGCUCGACUCGGAAAUGGCAUUGGAAACUACCUUGCUUGAGGGUUGGAGGGGGGACUGGAAUACUUGGUGUAGCAGUGAAAUGCGUAGAUAUCAAGUGGAACACCAGUGGCGAAGGCGAGUCCCUGGACAACUCCUGACACUGAGGCACGAAAGCUAGGGGAGCAAACAGG